rnacentral:rRNA from 1 species
CCUACGGGAGGCAGCAGUGGGGAAUCUUGCGCAAUGGGCGAAAGCCUGACGCAGCAACGCCGCGUGCGGGAAGAAGGCUUUCGGGCUGUAAACCGCUUUCAGCAGGAACGAAAAUGACGGUACCUGCAGAAGAAGGAGCGGCCAACUAUGUGCCAGCAGCCGCGGUGAUACAUAGGCUUCAAGCGUUGUCCGGAUUUAUUGGGCGUAAAGAGUUCGUAGGCGGUCGAGUAAGUCGGGUGUGAAAAUUCUGGGCUCAACCCAGAGACGCCACCCGAUACUGCUUGACUUGAGUUCGAUAGGGGAGUGGGGAAUUCCUAGUGUAGCGGUGAAAUGCGCAGAUAUUAGGAGGAACACCGGUGGCGAAGGCGCCACUCUGGAUCGAUACUGACGCUGAGGAACGAAAGCAUGGGUAGCAAACAGGAUUAGAUACCCUGGUAGUCCAUGCCGUAAACGGUGGGCACUAGGUGUGGGUUUCUAUUAACGAAAUCCGCGCCGUCGCUAACGCAUUAAGUGCCCCGCCUGGGGAAUCGGUCGCAAGACUAAAACUCAAANANAUAGAGCGNGAGAGNGCGACGACGACGACGAGGAGAG